rnacentral:rRNA from 1 species
UACGAAGGGUGCAAGCGUUAAUCGGAAUUACUGGGCGUAAAGCGCGCGUAGGUGGUUCGUUAAGUUAGGAGUGAAAGCCCCGGGCUCAACCUGGGAAUUGCUUCUAAAACUGGCGAGCUAGAGUAUGGUAGAGGGUGGUGGAAUUUCCUGUGUAGCGGUGAAAUGCGUAGAUAUAGUAAGGAACAUCAGUGGCGAAGGCGACCACCUGGACUGAUACUGACACUGAGGUGCGAAAGCGUGGGGAGCAAACAGGAUUAGAUACCCUUGUAGUCCCUGA